rnacentral:rRNA from 1 species
UUCCGGUUGAUCCUGCCGGCGACCACCGCUAUUGGAAUCCGCUUAAGACAUGCGAGUUGAGAGGGUUUAGACCCUCGGCAUACUGCUCAGUAACACGCGGACAAUCUGCCCUUGGGUGGGGGAUAAUCUCGGGAAACUGAGCAUAAUACCCCAUAGGUCACGGACGCUGGAAUGCUCCGUGGCUUAAAGCUCCGGCGCCCAAGGAUGAGUCUGCGGCCUAUCAGGUUGUAGUGGGUGUAACGGACCCACUAGCCAGCGACGGGUACGGGCGUUGGGAGACGUCGCCCGGAGAUGGAUUCUGAGACACGAAUCCAGGCCCUACGGGGCGCAGCAGUCGCGAAAACUUGCCAAUGCGGGAAACCGCGAGCAGGGGAGUCCAAGUGCAUGCGCAUUGCGUAUGCUGUUCAGUUGCCUAAAAAGCAGCCGAAGUAAGGGCUGGGUAAGACAGGUGCCAGCCGCCGCGGUAAUACCUGCAGCCCGAGUGGUGGUCGAUAUUAUUGAGCCUAAAGCGUCCGUAGCCGGUCUGGUAAACCCUUGGGUAAAUCGGGCAGCUUAACUGUCCGAAUUCCGAGGGGACUGCCAGACUUGGAACCGGGAGAGGUCAGAGGUACUCCGGGGGUAGGGGCUAAAUCCGAGAUGGUUUCGAGCCAUCCGGUUAGCAUUCCUGUAAUCCUCGGGGGACCACCAGUGGCGAAGGCGUCUGACUAGAACGGAUUCGACGGUAAGGGACGAAACCCUGGGUCGCAAUCUUGUGCGGUAGCCCAAGAUGAGACUUGCGUGCAAGGCGAAAACCGGAUUAGAUAUCGAACUUGUUCGAUGUUUGUUGAAUGAAGUUCGACUAAAUACCCGGGUAGUCCAGGGCGUAAACGCUGCAGGCUUGGUGUUGGGGGUCCUACGAGGGCGCCCAGUGCCGGAGUGAAGAUGUUAAGCCUGCCGCUUGGGGAGUACGUCCGCAAGGAUGAAACUUAAAGGAAUUGGCGGGAGAGCACAGCAACGGGAGGAGCGUGCGGUUCAAUUGGAUUCAACGCCGGAAAACUCACCGGGAGCGACGGUUACAUGAAGGUCAAGCUGAUGACUUUACCUGAUUUUCCGAGAGGUGGUGCAUGGCCGUCGUCAGUUCGUACCGUAAGGCGUUCUGUUAAGUCAGAUAACGAACGAGACCCUCGCCCUUAAUUGCUAGUUCAUUCUCCGGAAUGGGCGCACAUUAAGGGGACCGCUGGCGCUAAGCCAGAGGAAGGGGAGGUCAACGGUAGGUCAGUAUGCCCCGAAUCUCCCGGGCUACACGCGCGCUACAAAGGACAGGACAAUGGGCUGCGACACCGAGAGGUGAAGCCAAUCCCGAAACCUGUUCAUAGUUCGGACUGAGGGCUGUAACUCGCCCUCACGAAGCUGGAUUCCGUAGUAAUCGCGGAUCAACAUCCCGCGGUGAAUAUGCCCCUGCUCUUUGCACACACCGCCCGU